rnacentral:tRNA from 1 species
GCCCAGGUGGUGAAAUUGGUAGACACGCCAGCUUCAGGUGCUGGUGAUCGCAGGGUCGUGGAAGUUCGAGUCUUCUUCUGGGCACCA